GGUAAAAAUUGUAUCCUAAAAACCUAAUUUGAAUUAAAAUUGUAGCUAAAAGUAUGUAAUUCUACGAACAAAAAUACCAACGAAGACAAACAAAUUAAAAAGAUACGAAAAAGGUCCAUGCAAGGGGCCUUUUUCUUUUGUGCCUUUUUUCUAAAACAGCCAGUUCUCUACCACGGCGGAGAAGUUCACGGAAGAACCCGCACGAAGUUGUGAAGAGGCUGUGGAAAUGAAGCGAACGUUGUGCCCAUUGUAGAUGUUCGGCAGGCUUUCCAGAAACCGCCAUUGUGUCAACCCCGAGUAUAUGCCCGUCAUCGGUAGUGCACUAUUCGACCGCCAUCUUCCAAAAGUCCAUCGGGAAGAUAUCUGCCAAACACGCCGUAACAAUUCUCGCCCAAAGUCUGGCAACCCGUCCGCACACCUGGACGAGCCGACACCAGUGAUGACGCUGGUCUUCGACCGGCUACCCCCAGCUACCUCAUCAACCAGGAUCCGGAUCCACGUCGAGUAUCCAAAGAGCAUGCAAGUAUAGACCCCUUUUGACGUCACCAAUAAAUGAUUGUAAAUUGUAA